AUUGAACGCUGGCGGCAUGCCUUACACAUGCAAGUCGAACGGCAGCACGGGUGCUUGCACCUGGUGGCGAGUGGCGAACGGGUGAGUAAUACAUCGGAACAUGUCCUGUAGUGGGGGAUAGCCCGGCGAAAGCCGGAUUAAUACCGCAUACGAUCUACGGAUGAAAGCGGGGGACCUUCGGGCCUCGCGCUAUAGGGUUGGCCGAUGGCUGAUUAGCUAGUUGGUGGGGUAAAGGCCUACCAAGGCGACGAUCAGUAGCUGGUCUAAGAGGAUGACCAGCCACACUGGGACUGAGACACGGCCCAGACUCCUACGGGAGGCAGCAGUGGGGAAUUUUGGACAAUGGGCGAAAGCCUGAUCCAGCAAUGCCGCGUGUGUGAAGAAGGCCUUCGGGUUGUAAAGCACUUUUGUCCGGAAAGAAAUCCUUGGCCCUAAUACGGUCGGGGGAUGACGGUACCGGAAGAAUAAGCACCGGCUAACUACGUG
rnacentral:rRNA from 1 species